rnacentral:rRNA from 1 species
GACGAACGCUGGCGGCGUGCUUAACACAUGCAAGUCGAACGGUAAGGCCCUUCGGGGUACACGAGUGGCGAACGGGUGAGUAACACGUGGGUGAUCUGCCCUGCACUUCGGGAUAAGCCUGGGAAACUGGGUCUAAUACCGGAUAGGACCACUGCCUGCAUGGGUGGUGGUGGAAAGCUUUUGCGGUGUGGGAUGGGCCCGCGGCCUAUCAGCUUGUUGGUGGGGUGAUGGUCUACCAAGGCGACGACGGGUAGCCGGCCUGAGAGGGAGACCGGCCACACUGUGACUAAGAUACGGCCCAGACUCCUACGGGGGGCAGCAGUGGGGAAUAUUGCACAAUGGGCGCAAGCCUGAUGCAGCGACGCCGCGUGAGGGAUGACGGCCUUCGGGUUGUAAACCUCUUUCAGCACCGACGAAGCGCAAGUGACGGUAGGUGCAGAAGAAGGACCGGCCAACUACGUGCCAGCCGCCGCCGUAA